rnacentral:rRNA from 1 species
GAACGCGUCAAAGCGUAACUUUAACUCCCAAAAUACCAUUAAUUUUUAUGAACCCCUAAUUUAUAAUGAAUGACUCCAUAUUUAUAUGGAAGACACCAUGCUAGGAUUAGUAACAAGAAUUUAUAAUUCUCCAAAAUGCAAAUAUAAACCAACAUGGAUAGACCAUUGGUAGUUACCGAACCUAAAUUCAAUGCAAUAACAUCCACAAGAAAACUCUGCAGUACUCACUCGUUAACCUAACACCAGCGCAUUACAGGAAAGAUUUAAAAAAAGAGAAGGAAUUCGGCAAAUGACGGCCCCGCCUGUUUACCAAAAACAUCGCCUCUUGACUUAUAAUAAGAGGUCCAGCCUGCCCAGUGAAUUUUAAACGGCCGCGGUAUCCUAACCGCGCGAAGGUAGCAUAAUCACUUGUUCUUUAAAUGGGGACUUGUAUCAACGGCAUCACGAGGGUUUUACUGUCUCCUCUUUUUGAUCAGUGAAAUUGAUCUUCCCGUGAAGAAGCGGGAAUAUUUUUAUAAGACGAGAAGACCCCAUGGAGCUUAAAACCAAAUAACAACUUAACCACUUAUCCCAUAAUAAAUUUAAGCCCUGUUAUAAGGUUUUUGGUUGGGGUGACCGCGGAGUAAAGCACAUCCUCCACGACGGAAAGAACAGAAUCUUUAUUUAAGAACCACACUUCUAGAAAUUAGUAUACUAACGUUUACUGACCCGACAAUCGAUCAACGGACCAAGUUACCCUGGGGAUAACAGCGCAAUCUACUUCAAGAGCUCAUAUCGACAAGUAGGCUUACGACCUCGAUGUUGGAUCAGGGUAUCCCGGUGGUGCAGCCGCUACCGAAGGUUCGUUUGUUCAACGAUUAAAACCCUACGUG